rnacentral:rRNA from 1 species
CGCACGGGUGAGUAACACGUAUCCAACCUGCCGUCUACUCUUGGACAGCCUUCUGAAAGGAAGAUUAAUACAAGAUGGCAUCAUGAGUCCGCAUGUUCACAUGAUUAAAAGUAUUCCGGUAGACGAUGGGGAUGCGUUCCAUUAGAUAGUAGGCGGGGUAACGGCCCACCUAGUCUUCGAUGGAUAGGGGUUCUGAGAGGAAGGUCCCCCACAUUGGAACUGAGACACGGUCCAAACUCCUACGGGAGGCAGCAUG